GACGAACGCUGGCGGCGUGCUUAACACAUGCAAGUCGAACGGAAAGGCCCUGCUUUUGUGGGGUGCUCGAGUGGCGAACGGGUGAGUAACACGUGAGUAACCUGCCCUUGACUUUGGGAUAACUUCAGGAAACUGGGGCUAAUACCGGAUAGGAGCUCCUGCUGCAUGGUGGGGGUUGGAAAGUUUCGGCGGUUGGGGAUGGACUCGCGGCUUAUCAGCUUGUUGGUGGGGUAGUGGCUUACCAAGGCUUUGACGGGUAGCCGGCCUGAGAGGGUGACCGGCCACAUUGGGACUGAGAUACGGCCCAGGCUCCUACGGGAGGCAGCAGUGGGGAAUAUUGCACAAUGGGCCGAAGCCUGAUGCAGCAACGCCGCGUGCGGGAUUACGGCCUUCGGGUUGGAAACCGCUUUCGCCUGUGACGAAGCGUGAGUGACGGUAAUUGGUAAAGAAGCACCGGCUUACUACGUG
rnacentral:rRNA from 1 species